rnacentral:rRNA from 1 species
GGUUAAGUUAGAAAGGGCGCACGGUGGAUGCCUUGGCACUAGGAGCCGAUGAAGGACGGGACGAACACCGAUAUGCUUCGGGGAGCUGUAAGCAAGCUUUGAUCCGGAGAUUUCCGAAUGGGGAAACCCACCACUCGUAAUGGAGUGGUAUCCAUAUCUGAAUACAUAGGAUAUGAGAAGGCAGACCCGGGGAACUGAAACAUCUAAGUACCCGGAGGAAGAGAAAGCAAAUGCGAUUCCCUGAGUAGCGGCGAGCGAAACGGGACCAGCCCAAACCAAGAGGCUUGCCUCUUGGGGUUGUAGGACACUCUGUACGGAGUUACAAAGGAACGAGGUAGAUGAAGAGGUCUGGAAAGGCCCGCCAUAGGAGGUAACAGCCCUGUAGUCAAAACUUCGUUCUCUCCUGAGUGGAUCCUGAGUACGGCGGAACACGUGAAAUUCCGUCGGAAUCCGGGAGGACCAUCUCCCAAGGCUAAAUACUCCCUAGUGACCGAUAGUGAACCAGUACCGUGAGGGAAAGGUGAAAAGCACCCCGGAAGGGGAGUGAAAGAGAUCCUGAAACCGUGUGCCUACAAGUAGUCAGAGCCCGUUAAUGGGUGAUGGCGUGCCUUUUGUAGAAUGAACCGGCGAGUUACGAUCCCGUGCAAGGUUAAGCAGAAGAUGCGGAGCCGCAGCGAAAGCGAGUCUGAAUAGGGCGAAUUGAGUACGUGGUCGUAGACCCGAAACCAGGUGAUCUACCCAUGUCCAGGGUGAAGUUCAGGUAACACUGAAUGGAGGCCCGAACCCACGCACGUUGAAAAGUGCGGGGAUGAGGUGUGGGUAGGGGUGAAAUGCCAAUCGAACCUGGAGAUAGCUGGUUCUCUCCGAAAUAGCUUUAGGGCUAGCCUCAAGGUAAGAGUCUCGGAGGUAGAGCACUGAUUGGACUAGGGGCCCCUACCGGGUUACCGAAUUCAGUCAAACUCCGAAUGCCGAUGACUUAUCCUUGGGAGUCAGACUGCGAGUGAUAAGAUCCGUAGUCGAAAGGGAAACAGCCCAGACCGCCAGCUAAGGUCCCAAAGUAUACGUUAAGUGGAAAAGGAUGUGGAGUUGCUUAGACAACCAGGAUGUUGGCUUAGAAGCAGCCACCAUUUAAAGAGUGCGUAAUAGCUCACUGGUCGAGUGACUCUGCGCCGAAAAUGUACCGGGGCUAAACGUAUCACCGAAGCUGCGGACUGUUCUUCGAACAGUGGUAGGAGAGCGUUCUAAGGGCUGUGAAGCAAGACCGGAAGGACUUGUGGAGCGCUUAGAAGUGAGAAUGCCGGUAUGAGUAGCGAAAGAGGGGUGAGAAUCCCCUCCACCGAAUGCCUAAGGUUUCCUGAGGAAGGCUCGUCCGCUCAGGGUUAGUCGGGACCUAAGCCGAGGCCGAAAGGCGUAGGCGAUGGAUAACAGGUUGAUAUUCCUGUACCACCUCCUCACCAUUUGAGCAAUGGGGGGACGCAGGAGGAUAGGGUAAGCGCGGUAUUGGAUAUCCGCGUCCAAGCAGUUAGGCUGGGAAAUAGGCAAAUCCGUUUCCCGUGAAGGCUGAGCUGUGAUGGCGAGCGAAUUAUAGUAGCGAAGUUCCUGAUUCCACACUGCCAAGAAAAGCCUCUAGCGAGGUGAGAGGUGCCCGUACCGCAAACCGACACAGGUAGGCGAGGAGAGAAUCCUAAGGUGAUCGAGAGAACUCUCGUUAAGGAACUCGGCAAAAUGACCCCGUAACUUCGGGAGAAGGGGUGCUCUGUUAGGGUGCAAGCCCGAGAGAGCCGCAGUGAAUAGGCCCAGGCGACUGUUUAGCAAAAACACAGGUCUCUGCGAAGCCGUAAGGCGAAGUAUAGGGGCUGACGCCUGCCCGGUGCUGGAAGGUUAAGAGGAGCGCUUAGCGUAAGCGAAGGUGCGAAUUGAAGCCCCAGUAAACGGCGGCCGUAACUAUAACGGUCCUAAGGUAGCGAAAUUCCUUGUCGGGUAAGUUCCGACCCGCACGAAAGGCGCAACGAUCUGGGCACUGUCUCAACGAGAGACUCGGUGAAAUUAUAGUACCUGUGAAGAUGCAGGUUACCCGCGACAGGACGAAAAGACCCCGUGGAGCUUUACUGCAGCCUGAUAUUGAAUGUUGGUACAGCUUGUACAGGAUAGGUAGGAGCCUUGGAAACCGGAGCGCCAGCUUCGGUGGAGGCAUCGGUGGGAUACUACCCUGGCUGUAUUGACCUUCUAACCCGCCGCCCUUAUCGGGCGGGGAGACAGUGUCAGGUGGGCAGUUUGACUGGGGCGGUCGCCUCCUAAAAGGUAACGGAGGCGCCCAAAGGUUCCCUCAGAAUGGUUGGAAAUCAUUCGCAGAGUGUAAAGGCACAAGGGAGCUUGACUGCGAGACCUACAAGUCGAGCAGGGACGAAAGUCGGGCUUAGUGAUCCGGUGGUUCCGCAUGGAAGGGCCAUCGCUCAACGGAUAAAAGCUACCCCGGGGAUAACAGGCUUAUCUCCCCCAAGAGUCCACAUCGACGGGGAGGUUUGGCACCUCGAUGUCGGCUCAUCGCAUCCUGGGGCUGUAGUCGGUCCCAAGGGUUGGGCUGUUCGCCCAUUAAAGCGGUACGCGAGCUGGGUUCAGAACGUCGUGAGACAGUUCGGUCCCUAUCCGUCGCGGGCGCAGGAAAUUUGAGAGGAGCUGUCCUUAGUACGAGAGGACCGGGAUGGACGCACCGCUGGUGUACCAGUUGUUCUGCCAAGGGCAUCGCUGGGUAGCUAUGUGCGGACGGGAUAAGUGCUGAAAGCAUCUAAGCAUGAAGCCCCCCUCAAGAUGAGAUUUCCCAUUCCGCAAGGAAGUAAGAUCCCUGAAAGAUGAUCAGGUUGAUAGGUCUGAGGUGGAAGUGUGGCGACACAUGGAGCUGACAGAUACUAAUCGAUCGAGGACUUAACCAA